AUUGAUGGUAGGAAACAGAUUCCGUUGAAGGGAGUACUUCUCAAUUCCCCACUAUAUAAUGGCGACAGAACUGAAGGCUAAGCCCUCUUGUCUCCGAAAGCCCAAACCCUCUGCCUCCAAGAUCUUCUUUCUCAGAGGCAGAGAAAGGUUGAUGGGGGCCGAAGGAGAGAUGCGCUGCCCCCUUAUCAGCAAUAACGGCGGGCAAUCUCCUCACCCUCGUUCCCCUGGUCCAGCCAUCCUCGGCCUCCAGCCCUCAGCCCUCCUCGACCACGUCGCCAGGGUCGAUUGGUCGCUCCUCGAACGGAUCCCGGGCGAUCGCGGCGGCUCUCAGCAGAUUGCUAUUGAGGAUUUGAAUCAUAUAUUGACGGAAGUCGAUACAUGCAUUCUCCCAUACAUUGAUGGCAUUUCUCCUAUAAGGACCAUAGCUGGGGGUAGUGGUGCCAAUACCAUCAGGGGUCUGGCUGCAGGCUUUGGGCUCUCAUGCGGAAUAAUCGGUGCUUUUGGUGAUGAUGAGCAAGGCCAUAAAUUCAUCCAUAAUAUGAGCUUUAGUGGUGUGGAUCUUUCAAGAUUGAGAAUGAAGAAGGGACCUACUGGGCAGUGUGCAUGUUUGGUCGAUGCUGAUGGCAACCGUACCAUGAGGCCUUGUCUAUCGAAUGCUGUUAAACUCCUGGCUGAUGAGUUAAAAGGUGAGGAUUUUAGAGGUUCAAAGUGGCUGGUAUUGAGAUACGCACAUUUCAAUUUGGAAAUAAUCAAUGCUGCUAUUAAAAUUGCUAAACAAGAGGGGGUCUCUGUUUCCAUGGACUUGGCCAGUUUUGAGAUGGUAAGAGACUCCAGGUCGCACCUCGUAAAUUUACUGGAGAGUGGUAAUAUUGAUCUUUGUUUUGCCAAUGAGGAUGAAGCUAGAGAGCUUGUAAGAGUGCCUCGCAUGCUAAACAGUUUGGAGGGAUCACAUAGAGUGAUAAAAAGCGAGAUGAAUAUAUUGACAGAAAACUCAAAUGCCUCAAACUUAUUGUUGCAUCUUCAUGAUUGGAUAUUCUUCUACUAUGCCUCAAACUUAUCUGCAAAUGGGCUGUUGUGACGCUUGGCCUCCAAAGGAUGCAUUGCAAAGCAGGGUAAAGAGGUUGUCCGAGUUCCAGCUAUAGGGGAGGCACAUGCCAUUGAUGCCACAUGAGCUGGUGAUCUCUUUGGCAGUGGUUUUUUGUACGGGUUGGUAAAAGGGCUUCCAACUUGAAGAGUGCUGCAAGGUGGGCUCCUGUAGUGGUGGCUCUGUGAUACAAUCUCUUGGUGGUGAAGUGAGACCAGAAAACUGGCAGUGGAUGUACAAGCAGAUGCAGGCCAGGGGUCUGUUGCUUCCAGAUCUUAAAAACUAAACUCACCUACUUGUUUACGCUGUUAAGACUUCUCUUUUGUUGUGGCGAUGUUUUGUAAGAAGGGGAAGCAUAAUAUUGCAUUUUGGGGGCCAGUCCAGGUGAUUAUUAAGUGUAGUAGAUUAACUCAAAUUUGUGUCCGUA